GACGAACGCUGGCGGCGUGCUUAACACAUGCAAGUCGAACGGAAAGGCCCUGCUUUUGUGGGGUGCUCGAGUGGCGAACGGGUGAGUAACACGUGAGUAACCUGCCCUUGACUUUGGGAUAACUUCAGGAAACUGGGGCUAAUACCGGAUAGGAGCUCCUGCUGCAUGGUGGGGGUUGGAAAGUUUCGGCGGUUGGGGAUGGACUCGCGGCUUAUCAGCUUGUUGGUGGGGUAGUGGCUUACCAAGGCUUUGACGGGUAGCCGGCCUGAGAGGGUGACAGGCCACAUUGGGACUGAGAUACGGCCCAGACUCCUACGGGAGGCAGCCGUGGGGAAUAUUGCACAAUGGGCGGAAGCCUGAUGCAGCAACGCCGCGUGCGGGAUGACGGCCUUCGGGUUGUAAACCGCUUUCGCCUGUGACGAAGCGUGAGUGACGGUAAUGGGGAAAGAAGCACCGGCUAACUACGU
rnacentral:rRNA from 1 species